rnacentral:rRNA from 1 species
AGUGAACGCUGGCGGCGUGCUUAACACAUGCAAGUCGAACGAGAACGGGUUAUAGCUUGCUAUAAUUGUCAGCUAAGUGGCGCACGGAUGAGUAAUGUAUAGGUAAUAUGCCUCUUACUAAGGGAUAACAAAUGGAAACGUUUGCUAAUACCUUAUACUCCUUAUUAACAGAAGUUAAUAAGGGAAAGAUUUAUUGGUAAGAGAUUAGCCUGUAGUGUAUCAGUUAGUUGGUGGGGUAAUGGCUUACCAAGACUAUGACACAUAACUGGUUUGAGAGGAUGAUCAGUCACACUGGAACUGAGACACGGUCCAGACUCCUACGGGAGGCAGCAGUGGGGAAUAUUACACAAUGGACGAAAGUCUGAUGCAGCAACGCCGCGUGGAGGAUGACACAUUUCGGUGCGUAAACUCCUUUUAUAUGAGAAGAUAAUGACGGUAUUAUAUGAAUAAGCACCGGCUAACUCCGUGCCAGCAGCCGCAGUAA